rnacentral:rRNA from 1 species
CCAAUAGCGUAUAUUAAAGUUGCUGCAGUUGAAAAGCUCGUAGUUGAAUUUCGGGACUAAUAUGUCGGUCGUGCCUCGGUACGUACUGGUCUUUUUGGUUUCUCCCUUCUGACGAACCUUGAUGUCAUUAAUUUGGUGUCUUGGGAAAUCAGGACUGUUACUUUGAAAAAAUUAGAGUGUUUAAAGCAGGCUCACGCUUGAAUACAUUAGCAUGGAAUAAUGAAAUAGAACGUUUGAUUCUAUUUUGUUGGUUUCUAGGAUCGACGUAAUGAUUAAUAGGGAUAGUUGGGGGCAUUAGUAUUCAAUUGUCAGAGGUGAAAUUCUUGGAUUUAUUGAAGACUAACUACUGCGAAAGCAUUUGCCAAGGAUGUUUUCAUUAAUCAAGAACGAAAGUUAGGGGAUCGAAGACGAUCAGAUACCGUCGUAGUCUUAACCAUAAACUAUGCCGACUAGGGAUCGGAUGAUGUUAAUUUUUUAAUGACUCAUUCGGCGCCUUACG